rnacentral:rRNA from 1 species
GCAGUCGAGCGCAGGAAGUUAUCUGAUCCUCUUUUAGAGGUGACGAUAAUGGAAUGAGCGGCGGACGGGUGAGUAACACGUAGGCAACCUGCCUGUAAGACUGGGAUAACUCGUGGAAACGCGAGCUAAUACCGGAUAACACUUUUCAUCUCCUGAUGAGAAGUUGAAAGGCGGCUUUUGCUGUCACUUACAGAUGGGCCUGCGGCGCAUUAGCUAGUUGGUAAGGUAAUGGCUUACCAAGGCGACGAUGCGUAGCCGACCUGAGAGGGUGAUCGGCCACACUGGGACUGAGACACGGCCCAGACUCCUACGGGAGGCAGCAGUAGGGAAUCUUCCGCAAUGGACGAAAGUCUGACGGAGCAACGCCGCGUGAGUGAUGAAGGUUUUCGGAUCGUAAAACUCUGUUGUUAGGGAAGAACAAGUGCCAUAGUAACUGAUGGCACCUUGACGGUACCUAACCAGAAAGCCACGGCUAACUACGUGCCAGCAGCCGCGGUAAUACGUAGGUGGCAAGCGUUGUCCGGAAUUAUUGGGCGUAAAGCGCUCGCAGGCGGUUCUUUAAGUCUGAUGUGAAAUCUUACGGCUCAACCGUAAACGUGCAUUGGAAACUGGGGAACUUGAGUGCAGAAGAGGAGAGUGGAAUUCCACGUGUAGCGGUGAAAUGCGUAGAGAUGUGGAGGAACACCAGUGGCGAAGGCGACUCU